rnacentral:rRNA from 1 species
GGAUGCGAUCAUACCAGCACUAAAGCAUCGGAUUCCAUCAGAACUCCGAAGUUAAUCGUGCUUGGGCGAGAGUAGUACUAGGAUGGGUGACCUCCUGGGAAGUCCUUGUGUUGCAUUCC